UUGGAGACGGGAAUGUGUUCAUCGGAGGAGAUGAACACAUUUGGGUAAAUGGCUCCAGCCAAACCACCACCAAUGAGGGGUCCGACCCAGUACACCCAGUGUCCAGAAAAGUCAAAGCUGGCUACAGCAGGUCCAAAAGAUCUAGCUGGGUUCAUUGAUCCACCAGAGAAUGGACCUGCUGCCAAAAUGUUGGCGCCAACAAUGAACCCGAUUGCCAUUGGGGCAAUUGUGCCAACUGACCCCUUCUUUGGGUCACAUGCGGUGGCGUACACUGUGUACACCAACGCAAAUGUGAUAACAAUUUCGAAAACUACUCCUUGAAUUGCUCCUAAGCUUCCAACAUUGUGUGUAGGAACAGCCUGAAAAAAAAAAUAUAAAACAUAAAUAUUAUUUGAAAAAACCACUUAACCUAACAUAAUAAGUAUUUGUAACUUUAUAAAUCUUUUUAUAUAAAAGUCUUCUAAUAUUACUUUAAUGGUUAUAAAAUUAUAGUAAUAAAUUAAUCGUUUAUAAAAGAAACAAAAAAAAUUAAAAAUAAUACUCCUCAUAUUAUCCAAGUUGUUUCACCUGCUCAUUUUGCUUACGUAUAGUACAAAUCGUAAAGAAAAGUCUACAAUGCUUACCAGGCCUCCGGUGACGAAGCUGAGAAAGAUGCAUGCGACGGUGGAGCCAAGAAGUUGAGCGAUCCAGUAAAACACGCCGGUAAGGACGGUGAUCUGGCCGCCGACGGCCAAACCGAAGGUGACAGCUGGGUUGACGUGGCCGCCGGAGAUGUUGGCAGCGAUUGAUACGGCAACAAACAGAGCAAAUCCAUGGCAAACAGCGAUGGCUACAAGACCAGCUGGAUCUAGGGCAGCAUCUGCUGUUAAUUUGCCUGUAUUAAAUUAACAAAAAAAGGAAUUGGGUUAUGGAGAUAUAUCAUGAUAGAUCGGUUAGUAAUGGUUAUGGGGAGUUCUGAACUUACCAUAAGCGAUGGCAGAACCUACUCCGGCGAAGACGAAGAGCAAGGUGGAGAUGAACUCUGCAAUGUAGGCUUUGAUAGAGCUGCCACUGAAGGAGUCACCCAAACUACCAAUGGCGAUUCCAGGCAUUUUGUGUAGAGUAUUGUAUUAAUGGAUAAGGAAUAGCUGAAUUUGGAAAGGAGAUGGAAAUAGAAAGAGAGG
rnacentral:lncRNA from 1 species